rnacentral:rRNA from 1 species
GAUGAACGCUGGCGGCGUGCCUAAUACAUGCAAGUCGAGCGAACAGAUGAGGAGCUUGCUCCUCUGACGUUAGCGGCGGACGGGUGAGUAACACGUGGAUAACCUACCUAUAAGACUGGGAUAACUUCGGGAAACCGGAGCUAAUACCGGAUAAUAUAUUGAACCGCAUGGUUCAAUAGUGAAAGACGGUUUUGCUGUCACUUAUAGAUGGAUCCGCGCCGCAUUAGCUAGUUGGUAAGGUAACGGCUUACCAAGGCAACGAUGCGUAGCCGACCUGAGAGGGUGAUCGGCCACACUGGAACUGAGACACGGUCUAGACUCCUACGGGAGGCAGCAGUAGGGAAUCUUCCGCAAUGGGCGAAAGCUUGACGGAGCAACGCCGCGUGAGUGAUGAAGGUCUUCGGAUCGUAAAACUCUGUUAUUAGGGAAGAACAAAUGUGUAAGUAACUAUGCACGUCUUGACGGUACCUAAUCAGAAAGCCACGGCUAACUACGUG